UGUCCCCGUCGCCGCCGCCCGCCCACCUCUCCAAGAGUCAGUUCCCCGCCUCGCCCUCUCCAGGUCUGCCGCUUCUCUCCUCUACUCUCUUCCCUCACCGACUUGCUGCUACGCCGACAUCUGCUUCUUCGACAUCUGCUUCUUCAUACUCCAGUUAAAAUCUAGCUUGACAACCGCGUAGACGUUGCCAAGACUUUCAGCAAUUGCAAAACUCGAUACGCAACCCCAGCAUGAAGUGUACGAUACUCUUAGUCCUCCUGCUCCUUGUGAUAUGCCCCGUGUUGUCACACGCUGCCCCACAAGUCUUUGGAGGAGCAGGAGCAUUCAUCGGUAUGCGCCGCUUUAACAGAAAACCCAGGAAGAAUCCACAACCUAAACCUAAUUACCCAGACCACCGCCAACCAAGAUACCCAUACGACCCAACAGGACACGGCGACCCACAUUUCUCUUAUUAUUAUAAAUAGCAAUACAACACGUCUGGAGAUACAACCUGCUCCUUCAGCCAUCACGGUCUACCUCCCUGCACCAAGUCAUUGCUGCAUACAAGAACUGACGAUAAUCAUCAUGAUAUGCUCAUGUACUUCACAAAAUACACACUGCAGGAUGUGUAGUGUAUGGUAGCCUGUGAGACUCUGAAGGAGUGUUCACGAAGUGGGUUUUCUUGGCUUGUGUUACGUUGGUACCAUUAUUUUCAAAUAAGGAGCUACAAUAGUGCUAAUGUCUCAAAAAAAAUAUGUAAAAUUUAUAUCCUCACUAAGCUAAUACUAAACUUAAUGCUAAAAGUUACUUAAAACCCAUCAUAAAAAAAAAUUAGGUUUUGUUCACAUAUAUCAAGAAAUUUGAAGGAAAAAAAUGUGUGAUAAAGAAAUCAUUUUACAAUUUAGGUACAUAAUAAUAGUGGGAGCUACGCACAUUUUAUAUAGGAUUCACAGCUAACAGACCAAAGGGUCAAUAACGAGAUUUCAUUUUAAUGGUGAUUUUGAAUAUUAAUCUCAUCUAAUAAAACUUUAAUGACUAGAAGUAAACAUUCA